rnacentral:rRNA from 1 species
UACGGAGGGGGCUAGCGUUGUUCGGAAUUACUGGGCGUAAAGCGCACGUAGGCGGCUUUGCAAGUCAGAGGUGAAAGCCCGGGGCUCAACCCCGGAAUUGCCUUUGAGACUGCAUCGCUAGAAUUGUGGAGAGGUAAGUGGAAUUCCGAGUGUAGAGGCGAAAUUCGUAGAUAUUCGGAAGAACACCAGUGGCGAAGGCGACUUACUGGACACAUAUUGACGCUGAGGUGCGAAAGCGUGGGGAGCAAACAGG